UUCCCUGCCUCUUACUUGACGGCGAUGGGUGGCUCAUAGGCCUAGGGUAGUUCGGGUUGAGGGGAGGCGGGUGGUUCAGCAUCCCCGAGAUGAGAGCGGCAAGAAGAGAGGCAUUUAAUGGGAAUAAAAACAGGGUCGAGAUCGAGUAGGUGGCAGAAACCGGGAACGAAGGACUUUCCUGAGUGAUGUCUGCCACGUACUGCUUCGGAAGCGACACGUGACCACGACUGCUCACUAAUCAUUUGAUGUUCUGACUACCUGGAAUUUUUUUUGCAAAAACUCCUGUAUCUCCUGGCUCCUCUAUUACCUUUUUGGAACAGGCCUUCAGAGCUAUCUGAGAGGAUAUCUCCUGGGUUUAAACCCUCAGUAACAGAUAGCAAGAGGAAGUACUCGUGUCCGUUGAACUUCAUAUUGAAUCCCCCUCCUUGGAAAAAGACAUUUUGCAGCUAUUUUUCUGGAGGCUGGAAGUCCAAGAUCAUGAUGCCGACCUUUGCUCAAAAGUCCCCUUUCAGAGAGGCUUCCUCUGGACACCCUAUUUAAAAUAACACCCCAUCCAUCAGUCCCUGGCAUCUUAUGCUGCUUGAUUUUACUCACCACAUGCCACGCCACAUGGAGUGUGGGGUCCUAGUUCCCCCACCAGGGAUUGAACCUGUGCCCCCUGCGCUGGAAGCGUGAAAUCCUAAACACUGGACCUCCAGGGAAGUCCCCACUUCUCCAUCUUUAAAAUGAGAGGGUUGGACUAGCAUUCUCAGGGUCCUACUAGCUCUAACAUCCCAGACUUUUGUUUAUA